UCGAAUGUUGGGUCAAACAGGAUCUGUUCUAUAGGUUCGUACAACUGUCUCUUAGAAUUCUAACGAGAUAGGCACUAAAGUCUGGUUGAUGAUUCAGGACCUCAGGAUCGGAGCGUGAUUAACGGUGGGGAUCUCUCGCGGUCUCUCACAGUAGGGGAUCGUUCUCAGCUGCUGGUGGUGCCCAUCGGCUGGGGCGAUCCUGGGGUUGUCUGACAGACC